CCCUUAGAUGUUCUGGGCCGCACGCGUGCUACACUGAGUGGAUCAGCGGGUCAGGUUGCGCGAAAGCGUUUCCUAAUCUUUAAAUCCGCUCGUGAUGGGGAUUGACGGUUGCAAUUUUCUGUCAUGAACGAGGAAUACCUUGUAAGCGCGGGUCAUCAUCCCGCGCUGAAUACGUCCCUGCCCUUUGUACACACCGCCCGUCGCUCCUACCGAUUGAGUGGUCCGGUGAGGCUUUGGGAUCUGAGCGGAAAGAGCGUUUCGCUGUUUCUGCUCGGAAAACUCAGUCGAAUCUUAUCAUUUAGAGGAAGGAGAAGUCGUAACA
rnacentral:rRNA from 1 species